ensembl:snoRNA
UUGCACAGUAAACACCCAAGUGUGCUUUAUAAUUUGCUUGGCCUGGACUCUGGUAAAGUCUGUUCUUUCCCUCUGCAUUGAAAGGAAUAUUGACUAUCCUUUUAAAUGUAUUCAGAAAAUCAGCACAUCA